rnacentral:rRNA from 1 species
UACGUAGGGGGCAAGCGUUGUCCGGAAUCAUUGGGCGUAAAGAGCGUGUAGGCGGCUCGAUAAGUCCGCUGUGAAAGUCAAGGGCUCAACCCUUGAAUGCCGGUGGAUACUGCAGGGCUAGAGUCCGGAAGAGGCGAGUGGAAUUCCUGGUGUAGCGGUGAAAUGCGCAGAUAUCAGGAGGAACACCGAUGGCGAAGGCGGCUCUCUGGGCAGGUACUGACGCUGAGGCGCGAAAGCCUGGGGAGCGAACAGG